ensembl:lncRNA
CAAAGUACCUGUACUUGUUUCUGUCUAACGACGUGCUGACAACGACGCCUAGACCUGUGACACAAAGGCUGACAGACAGCACAGAGAACUUGGCACUCUCGUGUGUCAGCGCCUUGCUAAUGAACCGUCCGUAGUCAUGUUAACAGCACACGGUGCUGGUUUACAAAUCUUCAAGCGGCAAUUUCUUUCUUUAUAAUGACUCCCAAGCCCUUUCGUCUUGCCGAGACUUGCGAUCUGAGACCGUGGAGCGAAAAAAAACCCAAAAAAAAACCCCUCCCUUUCCUCCGUGAGUGAAAACCAGGGCUGUUACAGAUCUCCACCAGGACUUCACCCAACGACAUGUUGCUUUUAUGGGUACCGGAGCACGGUUAACCCUCAGUACUGCAGCGCUCGGGUCGAGAGCGAAGCAUACAGGUCAUGACCCUUUAAUAAAGCAUCGUGUGUCAGGUAUAAACUGGAACUCGACACACUGCAGCAAGUUUUUGAGGAUGUGCCAUACAUGAACUCGUCACACUCGGGGGACUCGCGAAGCCGGUUUUACACUUAUUUAUUUAUUUAUUUAUUUUUUAAAACGUGGCAUACUACCAACUCGAAUAUUAUCUCCUGGAUGAUUCAACUGUUAAGUACAACCAAUAGUAGAACAAAGAGCGAAGCUUUCAUCUCCCCGUGCACGUAUACCGUCUCGUCCGUCUCCUUAACGUACGUGAGAGUCUGCGAAGGUUUCAGAGAGACACGACGUUUUGACGUUUUGGACAGAAAUGGAAAAAACGGUGUAGAGGGGACGUCGGGCAGACGUUCCUGUCAGUUCGGAUCAGCAGAUCUCCAGGUGAGCACACGGCUGGGAGAGAAGCGAAUCUCCAGGCAGUCCAGCUGCACUGAGAACCUCUAGGACCAAAACCCAACCUCUGCCCCGUCUCUGUAAACGACCGCAGGCCGUAUGACUCGCGCUGCCUCGCCGUUCGGCGAUGACGAACACAGAGCGAGGUGGGUUUUCUCCAAGCCCUUCUGCAGAUCAGAGAAGAUUCUCCAAUCUGUCUGACAGAAGCAGCGCUUAAAGGAAUUGCUUGGCUCUAAAUGUAGCCAUGACGGUUUUAGUCGAUUUAAUCCACUUUUUUUUUUUUUUGGUUCUUUAGACCCAGCUAAAGACAAAUCUGUUUGAAUUUAUUUAUUUAUUUUUGGUACAUUUGUGUUCUAUGUAUAGUAUGUAUCUUGUGUAUUUGGUAUAUCUUCUAUAUAAAGCAACCUUGAGCCUUGGAAAGGUGCUAUAUUU